CGAGAUGUAACGCCAUUGGGGUAGGAAGCCCGGAAACCUCUCCGGGAGAGUGAAAUUUCACAGAUCAGCCCUGUUUGACUGGCAUAAAUUCUAAAAGAUUGGCAGGGGCAGGGAUGAGGUCUGCAGAGCCUCCCUCAUCACGAGGAGGAAGAGCUGACACCGGUUCUGAGACUUGCUGAUGCCCGGGCUGUCAGCCAUGUGACGGAACAGGAGGAUGGAUGGCAUUGUUCAGGCCGGAGGAUGGCAGCUGCCCUGUGCCACACCCCAGCAGCACAAAGCCAUCUGGUCGUGACCUGGAAGGCGCAGAAGAAAUCUGCCACCAAACUGCAGAAUGUAUGACACACGGGGCAUCCCUUGGAGCCUUUUUGUACCCAGAGUGUCCUCUGGGACCUCGUCCCCAACACACACCCUUUGGUCACUGUGGAGAGUGAUCUACACGUGCCACAGUCUUCAGCUUCUGAGAACUAUGGAGAGUGAUCUAUACAUGCAACAGUCUUCAGCUUCUGAGAACUUCCGCCCUACGGACUCAGUUUGGGUUAGGCAGCCCAAAAAUAAAUAAAUAAAAUAAUAGUAGCAGGUUCUAUGACUAACUAAA